rnacentral:rRNA from 1 species
UUGAAAGGGAAACGAUUGAAGUCAGUCGUGCUGGCGCGAAAUCAACCUUCUCGUCUUGAGAUCACAUGGCGUGGCGAGCCUCAAAACCGUCACGAAGCGUGAACUCUUGGUGAAAUGGAGCACUUUCGUGUCCGCUGGUUAACAUCAAUUUCGAACGUCAUAAAAAGGCUGGAGGGAUGUGGCUCCUUCGGGAGUGUUAUAACCUUUAGCGGAAUGUGGUGUUCGGGAUUGAGGAUUGCAACGAAUACCUUUAGGGCUGUUCCACCUGGCUUCUCUUUGGUAUCCUGGUGACGACAGCUUGCUGACGUCGCUAGGAUUCGCCUUUGAACAGGCUAGAGUGUGAGCAAAUUCGUUAAGGAUGUUGACGUA